CCGAGUUUACAACUCCCAAACCCAAUGUGAACGUUACCAAACUGUUGCCAUCGGCGGGGUCACGCCCCGGGUGCGUAAAAGCCCCGGAACCAGGCGCCCGCCGGAGGAACCAACCAAACUCUUUCUGUAGUCCCCUCGCGGACGUAUUUCUUACAGCUCUGAGCAAAAAUUUCAAAAUGAAUCA
rnacentral:misc_RNA from 1 species